rnacentral:rRNA from 1 species
UACAGAGGUCUCAAGCGUUGUUCGGAUUCAUUGGGCGUAAAGGGUGCGUAGGCGGCGCGGUAAGUCGGGUGUGAAAUCUCGGAGCUUAACUCCGAAACUGCAUUCGAUACUACCGCGCUUGAGGACUGGAGAGGAGACUGGAAUUCAUGGUGUAGCAGUGAAAUGCGUAGAGAUCAUGAGGAAGACCAGUGGCGAAGGCGGGUCUCUGGACAGUUCCUGACACUGAGGCACGAAGGCCAGGGGAGCAAACGGG